rnacentral:rRNA from 1 species
UAGCUAGUUGGUGAGGUAACGGCCCACCAAGGCGACGAUCGGUAGCCGGACUGAGAGGUUGAACGGCCACAUUGGGACUGAGACACGGCCCAGACUCCUACGGGAGGCAGCAGUGGGGAAUAUUGCACAAUGGGGGAAACCCUGAUGCAGCGACGCCGCGUGGAGGAAGAAGGUCUUCGGAUUGUAAACUCCUGUUGUUGAGGAAGAUAAUGACGGUACUCAACAAGGAAGUGACGGCUAACUACGUGCCAGCAGCCGCGGUAAAACGUAGGUCACAAGCGUUGUCCGGAAUUACUGGGUGUAAAGGGAGCGCAGGCGGGAGAACAAGUUGGAAGUGAAAUCCAUGGGCUCAACCCAUGAACUGCUUUCAAAACUGUUUUUCUUGAGUAGUGCAGAGGUAGGCGGAAUUCCCGGUGUAGCGGUGGAAUGCGUAGAUAUCGGGAGGAACACCAGUGGCGAAGGCGGCCUACUGGGCACCAACUGACGCUGAGGCUCGAAAGUGUGGGUAGCAAACAGGAUUAGAUACCCUGGUAGUCCACACCGUAAACGAUGAUUACUAGGUGUUGGAGGAUUGACCCCUUCAGUGCCGCAGUUAACACAAUAAGUAAUCCACCUGGGGAGUACGACCGCAAGGUUGAAACUCAAAGGAAUUGACGGGGGCCCGCACAAGCAGUGGAGUAUGUGGUUUAAUUCGACGCAACGCGAAGAACCUUACCAAGUCUUGACAUCCCUUGACGAUGCUGGAAACAGUAUUUCUCUUCGGAGCAAGGAGACAGGUGGUGCAUGGUUGUCGUCAGCUCGUGUCGUGAGAUGUUGGGUUAAGUCCCGCAACGAGCGCAACCCUUAUGGUCAGUUACUACGCAAGAGGACUCUGGCCAGACUGCCGUUGACAAAACGGAGGAAGGUGGGGAUGACGUCAAAUCAUCAUGCCCUUUAUGACUUGGGCUACACACGUACUACAAUGGCGUUAAACAAAGAGAAGCAAGACCGCGAGGUGGAGCAAAACUCAGAAACAACGUCCCAGUUCGGACUGCAGGCUGCAACUCGCCUGCACGAAGUCGGAAUUGCUAGUAAUCGUGGAUCAGCAUGCCACGGUGAAUACGUUCCCGGGCCUUGUACACACCGCCCGUCACACCAUGAGAGCCGGGGGGACCCGAAGUCGGUAGUCUAACCGUAAGGAGGACGCCGCCGAAGGUAAAACUGGUGAUUGGGGUGAAGUCGUAACAAGGUAGCCGUACUAGUACGUAGAUGG